rnacentral:rRNA from 1 species
GACGAACGCUGGCGGCGUGCUUAACACAUGCAAGUCGAACGGAAAGGCCCUGCUUUUGUGGGGUGCUCGAGUGGCGAACGGGUGAGUAACACGUGAGUAACCUGCCCUUGACUUUGGGAUAACUUCAGGAAACUGGGGCUAAUACCGGAUAGGAGCUCCUGUUGCAUGGUGGGGGUUGGAAAGUUUCGGCGGUUGGGGAUGGACUCGCGGCUUAUCAGCUUGUUGGUGGGGUAGUGGCUUACCAAGGCUUUGACGGGUAGCCGGCCUGAGAGGGUGACCGGCCACAUUGGGACUGAGAUACGGCCCAGACUCCUACGGGAGGCAGCAGUGGGGAAUAUUGCACAAUGGGCGGAAGCCUGAUGCAGCAACGCCGCGUGCGGGAUGACGGCCUUCGGGUUGUAAACCGCUUUCGCCUGUGGCGAAGCGUGAGUGACGGUAAUGGGUAAGAAGCACCGGCUAACUACGUG